AUUAUCCGGAAACAUGCCGCGCUUGUCCCUCAGGGUGCCCUCCCACCAUCCGCCAAGCAUCAUCUUAAUCUCGGUGAUGAUGUCACCCUUCCUCAGCGUCAGCUCAUCGUCCUCUUGUGCCACAUAAUUAUAUUCCACUAUCGCCUCCAUCGUAACGGCACGUAUUAAUAUCUACGGGCAAACAGCACGCACUUGUCUCACCAUGCGACGAAUUCGAUCGGAUGAUUCGUCGCCGAUGUCACAAUACGAUGUCGAGGCGAGAGAAGAGACGACGAUGCUCGGCGAAAGCCGCGAGUCGAGAAACCGAGUGAGAGUUCGCAUGAAAAAAAACCAGGUCGCACGCGAAUGUAAUAUGUACGUAUGUAUAUCUACGUACGAGUUACGAGGCGAGAUGCGUUCGCGGGGUACGAUAUAACGCGUACUGACUGUCGACGUCUCCGUACGGAUAAACCCGGCCGGAUUUCAUGUGCGCGAGCAUCGUAACGCGACGCGAACGCAAACGCGCGAUUAGGCUCCGCGGUCGGACUGAAAAUUUAGGCGGAUCCCGGGGACGGUUAGCAACUUCCCGUACCUGUCACCUCAGCCAUCUUGCGCUCUCGGAGACGAGACGAUACUCCGCCACUCCGGGGGCGAGAAGUAAGCGCGCGGACGCCACCUGUCAACCAUUCUGUCACAUCGAUAUUCGAUAUAUCGAAUAUCGAUGUAUCGCACGAGUGUCGCGCAUCGCGAAUCGCGGAGGAAGAGCUCGAUUCCGGAGGCGCUUCCACUUUUAAUCGCGCUACUCACGCUAGGUUCCUGGCGUUUGGGCGGCCAUGUUUUCAAAUGUCAUUUCAUGCGCCUGCGCAGAGACGCGUCUCUCGUGCACAACUUCGCGUGAUUCACUCUCGUAAGACAAGGAACGUAUACAGCACGUUUCGUUUUUGAAUGGACGCGUGUUAUAAUGCGUGUCACGACUCGAAGCACGCACGUGCUUCAAGCUUUAUCGGCCAAAGAUGCAUACGUACAAUUUGAUGAUCCUCUGGCUCCUGUCCGUCAAUUUUUCAGUGCGACAGUAUACGCGGAUUUACUAUCAGGCCUGAUCUACAUUUGGAAAAAGAAAUCCAUGCUGUGACACAAUACAUGCCGGUUUACAUAUACACGUACCUAUCAAUGGAGAGAUAGCAGCGUUCCGGCUUUCUGAUGCGCAUCGAAGCCACAAUUCAACAUGAGCUCUCAGCUGGAAAACGGUGCGUGUCUUCUCUAUCUGUUCAAGUCGCUGAUUCACUUCGAAGGAUCAAGAAUAAUAUCAUAAUAUACGGGGGCUUCACCUCGUCACAGACGGCAGCCUACGAAACAAAAAUUAACGACAAUCACGACAAAUCACGCGCGCAUCUAAAAAAGGAAAAGACAGUCGAAAAUUUAACAGACAUGUCACGGUAAUCAUCUAACAACGGAGCAGCCGAAGAUCUGAGUCAUGAUCCGCACAACUUAGAGAUGGUCGUCAGUAACCAGAUAAGUGAUUACCUUGUGCACCGGAUUACGGUGGUAUCUCACCUAUCGUCGAGAUGUAAGUGUCGUAGUACCGUUCGUCGCAGUAACGAUGCACGAUGCAGGUUUUGCCGACGUUCGAAUCGCCCAACACCAGUACCUUGUACGUGGCUGCAAAGUCCAACGCCAUGUUUGCCGUGGUGUUUUCGGGUGGUUUUGAACUGUUGUUAGGUCGACAACAGAGUCGUCGGCCGGGGGUUGCUCUUCGCGAACGCGCUGCUCCCGAGGGGGAUGGAGGAUCGAUUCGACGCUUGCGCUUUAGCCCCCUCGCGACAAGGGUUAAAGGUGUCCUCACAAUCGUGUGUGACUUUUCGCUGCUCAUGCGCGACUUUUAGAAGGCCACACAUCCGUAAAUGCAUCUCAAGCGCUCACGUGCGCAUCAAGAUGUAGAAUAUGUAGACGCAUAUGUAGACGCGCGCGUAAAAUUGCGCGCAUAUGUUGAGAUAAAUGUGUUAAUUCUUAUAUGUGUGAUAUAUUUUUAUAUAUUUGGUAUAUAUUUAUAUUGUAUAUUGAUAUAUAUUUUUAUAUAUAUUGGUAAUCGACGAUGUUUAUUAAGAGUAAUGUGCACCUGUCACAUACCUGCAGUAUAAUAAGAAAAUAAUAUGAUAAGAGAAUGCGCAGGAAAAGAUUUUCUCUUCUAUUUUUGCAUUUUUUUUGAACAUUGCAUCUUAUCUGAGUCUUUCUCAUGCAUAAUGAACCUCUGUAUAGCACGGAAUAAUUUAAUGGAAAAGUGUCGGGAUUUGAUAAUUUGCGGAAAUUUGCAUGUGUAAACAUGUAAUUGCGAGGGUGUCAGAAAUAAUUGAACAACAUUGGAAAUUAGGCCGCUUUAUUGUAUUCUCAUUAUUAAUCAGACCAACAUAUUUUUGCCGAAUUCAUAUUUUUGCAUAGAUAAUCGCUUUUAUUUUUCUUUGUCUUCUUUUUUUCUUUUACAUUCGAUAACAAAAUACUAUCGGAAUCAGAUUCUUAAAUUAACAAUUGUUAGACCACUUAGCACAAUCGUUUACUCUACACGUAAUGCUAGUUUGUCUUUUUUAUGAGACAAAUUUUAUAUUUUAAUUUUACAUAUGCUAUAAUUAUACGUCUCUCUAGAAUUAGAUAAAAUCUACUCAAGUACUUUUCGGGAAUGGCUUUGUAGCGAAAUAUAUCCGACGAUAAAUACGCUACAAUAAUUAAAAAUUAGUUUUGAUGCUUUGGUUGAUUUAAGCUGCGCUUAUUAAUUGUUUCACAUUAUCCUUCAGGAUAUCUGUAUAUCUACUAUGCAUAGAUAAUAUAUCGCGGGUAAAUCAUCAAAAAUUUCAUUACAGAAAGGAAAAUAAGUUUUUAAUUCUUAUCAGAUUGUAAAUAAAAAAUCAACAUGUUAGGGUUUCGUAUUACAUUAUUACUAACACUCAAAAAUUAUUACGCCUCUAAAAUUUUUUUUUUAGUAAACCAAUAUUUUUGAAGCA